rnacentral:rRNA from 1 species
GACGAACGCUGGCGGCGUGCUUAACACAUGCAAGUCGAACGGAAAGGCCCUGCUUUUGUGGGGUGCUCGAGUGGCGAACGGGUGAGUAACACGUGAGUAACCUGCCCUUGACUUUGGGAUAACUUCAGGAAACUGGGGCGAAUACCGGAUAGGAGCUCCUGCUGCACGGUGGGGGUUGGAAAGUUUCGGCGGUUGGGGAUGGACUCGCGGCUUAUCAGCUUGUUGGUGGGGUAGUGGCUUACCAAGGCUUUGACGGGUAGCCGGCCUGAGAGGGUGACCGGCCACAUUGGGACUGAGAUACGGCCCAGACUCCUACGGGAGGCAGCGGUGGGAAAUAUUGCACAAUGGGCGGACGCCUGAUGCAGCAACGCCGCGUGCGGGAUGACGGCCUUCGGGUUGUAAACCGCUUUCGCCUGUGACGAAGCGUGAGUGACGGUACUGGGUAAAGAAGCACCGGCUAACUACGUG